rnacentral:rRNA from 1 species
CCUACGUGAGGCAGCAGUCGGGAAUAUUGCUCAAUGGAGGAAACUCUGACGCAGUGACGCCGCGUAUAGGAAGAAGUUUUUCGGAAUGUAAACUAUUGUCGUUAGGGAAGAGAAAAGACAGUACCUAAGGAGGAAGCUCCGGCUAAAUACGUGCCAGCAGCCGCGGUAAUACGUAGGGAGCGAGGUUUAUCCGGAAUUAUUGGGUGCAAAGGGUGCGUAGAGGGGGAAACAAGUUAGUUGUGAAAUCCCUCGGCUUAAGUGAGGAACUGCAACUGAAACUAUCUUUCUUGAGUGCAAGUGGGGUGAGUGGAAUUCCUAGUGUAGCGGUGAAAUGCGUAGAUAUUAGGCGGAACACCAGUGGCGAAGGCGACUUACUGGACUGUAACUGACGUUGAGGCACGAAAGUGUGGGGAGCAAACAGGAUUAGAUACCCGAGUAGUC